UUAAGUUCAGCGGGUAUCCCUACCUGAUCCGAGGUCAACCUUGAGGUGAGAGUUUUCUCGAGGCAGAGCGGCGCCAAACACACGAAGCUGGUAUUUUACUACGCUUAGGGUCUGAUCACCGCCGCCGAGGCCUUUAGAGCCCGUCCCGUGGGGGACGACGCCCAAUACCAAGCAGUGCUUGAGGGUUGAUAAUGACGCUC
rnacentral:misc_RNA from 1 species